rnacentral:rRNA from 1 species
GAUGAACGCUGGCGGCGUGCCUAACACAUGCAAGUCGAACGGAGCUGCUUUGAUGAAGUUUUCGGAUGGAUUUAAAGCAGCUUAGUGGCGGACGGGUGAGUAACGCGUGGGUAACCUGCCUCACACUGGGGGAUAACAGUUAGAAAUAGCUGCUAAUACCGCAUAAGCGCACGGUUCCGCAUGGAACAGUGUGAAAAACUCCGGUGGUGUGAGAUGGACCCGCGUCUGAUUAGCUUGUUGGUGAGGUAACGGCCCACCAAGGCGACGAUCAGUAGCCGGCCUGAGAGGGUGAACGGCCACAUUGGGACUGAGACACGGCCCAAAUCCUACGGAGGCAGCAGUGGGGAAUAUUGCACAAUGGGGGAAACCCUGAUGCAGCGACGCCGCGUGAGUGAUGAAGUAUUUCGGUAUGUAAAACUCUAUCAGCAGGGAAGAUAAAUGACGGUACCUGACUAAGAAGCACCGGCUAAAUACGUGCCAGCAGCC